rnacentral:rRNA from 1 species
AGAGAUAGCUGGUUAUUCAGGAAAAGGAUAUUAGUCCAACUUUAAAUCUUCCCAUACCACCAAAUACCCCCAUAGAUUUAAAAUACAUUCAAAUAAGGUUCAGCCUAUUUGAAACAGGACACAACCUAAACCAUAGGGUAAUGUCUCAGCCAACGUGAUCAAGUCGGCCUAAAAGCAGCCAUCUUCAAAAAAGCGUCACAGCUUUAUCACACCUACCAUCAAUACCUCACAAAACUCAAAACCCUUCACCCCCACUGAAUGAUUUUAUAUAAUAUAUAAAAAACCUAAUGUUAGAACUAGUAACAAGAACUUUUUCUCCUAAAAGUAAGUGUAAGCCGGACUGAACUACUCACCGGCAUUUACCGCCAAUGAACUAAAAGUAAUAACCAACACAAGAAAACCCUACUUUUAAAAGCGUUAACCUUACACUAGAACUUUUCUGGAAAGAUUAAAAAGAGAGGAAGGAACUCGGCAAACAUUAACCCCGCCUGUUUACCAA